ACGAACCGUGCGAACGUUAUUCGGAAUCACUGGGCUUAAAGCGCGUGUAGGCGGAUGGGAACGUCGGCCGUUGAAAUCCCCCGGCUUAACCGGGGAAGUGGCGCCGAUACGACCCGUCUGGAGGAACGUAGGGGGAGCUGGAACUUCCGGUGGAGCGGUGAAAUGCGUUGAGAUCGGAAGGAACGCCCGUGGCGAAAGCGAGCUCCUGGACGUUUUCUGACGCUGAGACGCGAAAGCCAGGGGAGCGAACGGGAUUAGAUACCCCGGUAGUCCUGGCCGUAAACGAUGGGCACUGGGUAGGGGGCUCGCCGAUGGGCUCCCUGCCGUAGGGAAACCGUGAAGUGCCCCGCCUGGGGAGUAUGGUCGCAAGGCUG
rnacentral:rRNA from 1 species